rnacentral:lncRNA from 10 species
GAUUAUAGGCAUGAGCCACUGUGCCCGGCUCAGACAAUAUUUCAAAUCAGAUAAUAGGACAAGGAGUAAAGAACCUAGACAGUUCUCCAGAGGAGCUUCUGGCAAUGUUUCUGAAAUCAGGGAACCAGCGGCCCCAGUGGGGUUUGAUACUGAAAGAAAGCCUUCUAAGCAGAAACAUUAGUUCUUGUCAAGGGUCAGAGUAGGUCUCAGCAUGGUGGGCUUAGUGAAGAGGAAAGUAGGCUGGGAAGCCGGCCUGCAGAGUGAGUAGGGGAAAAUCUACGCAGCCCCCGAGAGGGAAGAGGAGACAAAUUUAGGUUAGACAAUCCCAAAGAGCAUCAAGUUACUGAGCCACCGUCUUUCUGGGGACAAAAAGGUCUCAUGUAAAAGAAUGAGCUCACACCCGGGUGGGACGUUUUGCAAUUUGAUGGAGAGGAUGUCGAGUACGAUGAAAGGCCUUCAGACCAGCGAUCAGAACUUGAGAAUGACCUGCUUCUUCCACUUACAGCUCAGUGUUGGCUGAAACACAUGUAAGUCACUGUCAGAAAUACCAUUCAGUUAAAACUCUUCAUGAGCAGAGGAGCUGUGUUAAAGGAUUCCUUUUCAUUUCUUAUGAAUCCCAGUGUAUUCUAGAUUUUACGUACCAGACAUACCCCUGUGUAUUCUGCAGUGGCAUUAACAUGCACCAGAUAUAACAUAUAAGCAGAGUUUUUGCUAGUAAGGAAUUUAAGACUCAUUUUCAUUUAAUAACACCAUCUUAUAAGUAAGAAACCAGGGUUCUAGCAAGUUAACUGGUGUCCCCAAGGUCACUGAGUUAAGAGUGAGCAGAUCAGCUCCUGGAACGGCUGUCUUCUGACCCUUAGGCCAGAGCUCUUUCCAUUAUACUCUUCAGACAAGGUUUUCUAUGUCCUUUAUAAGCUGUCUCAUCAAAAUAUACCCAGCAAAAGUGCAGGACGUCCCCACUUAAACCUGCAACACAAGUCGGAGCAUCCUUUCAUUAGCAGACCUGAGGGCAAGGAGGUGGAGAAGAAUUGCUUAGGCAGCUAAUGGAUUCUCUGAACAUAUGCCUUGAGACACCGCAAGCCCUUCUUUGCAUUGUGACAUAAGACACAGUAGAAGCCUGCUAACAGUGACAACCCCUUCUGAAGGAAUAAUAGAUCUGUGCAAAAAGCCUUUGGCUCAGGACAUCGGGUGGCUUGGUGCAGCUGUCCUGGAUUUCUGGAAGCUCGACUUGCUGUGACUCCAGGAGGCAACUCUAUAGAUCACUGGGGACUCAUCCUGCAGAUAUCAUUCAAGGUAUCCGGUUCAGAAUCUAUCACCAGCUCAGACUGUAGCCUCUGAAGAGAUCUCAGAUGUUUUGUGCCUUAUACAUUUAAUUCUGAGAUCAUAGAGCCCAAGGAGGUUUUGAGGACCCUCUACCCACACCUUCAGAUGUUUUCAGAGGAUUUGCUGGCAGGGCUGGGCCACUGGGCCUUGCUGGGCUCUAAUUUUCCUACCCACGUGUGUCCUAUAGACCGUGAAUUUUCUUCUAAACACUCUUGACUUUUCACUUGUUAAAUUAAAGCAUUUUCUUAAAGAAAAGAUUAAAACCAAGA